rnacentral:rRNA from 1 species
AUUGAACGCUGGCGGCAGGCCUAACACAUGCAAGUCGAGCGAGCGGCGGACGGGUGAGUAAUGUCUGGGAAACUGCCUGAUGGAGGGGGAUAACUACUGGAAACGGUAGCUAAUACCGCAUACCAUCAGAUGUGCCCAGAUGGGAUUAGCUAGUAGGUUGGGUAACGGCUCACCUCGGCGACGAUCCCUCUCUGGUCUGAGAGGAUGACAAGCCAAUCUGGAGCUGAUAAACGUUCCAGAACCCUACGGGAGGCAGCAGUGGGUAAUAUUGCACAAUGGUCGCAAGCCUGAUGCAGUCAUGCCGCGUGUGUGAAGAAGGCUUUCAGGUUUUAAAUCACUUUCAGCGGGGAGGCGUUACCCGCAGAAGAAGCACCGGCUAACUCCGUGCCAGCAGCCGCGGUAAUAC